UUGAACCACUUGGUAUACACCCCUUCCCCCCGGUAUUUUUAAAGCACCAUGGCUGCUAGAAACUCAUCACUCUAUCAUGUUCAGUACUCUUACUGUCUUUCAAUGUUUUUCUAAUGCACACUUGCUUCUUGGAAUCACUUUCUGCAUAGAAUCUCGUUACUUUUUCUCUUUGCUUCUUUAUAUCACACACAGUUGACGAACCAAUACCAUACUGAUCACACACCCGUCACACCGAAACACUACGGUCGAGUUUUCUCAAGAGUUCCACCUUAUCUUGUAUCGAUGUGGACUGGUGUUUACGCUUUACACCACCACUGACACUUGUACUUGCCUUUGAAGCCAUAGCUGGGGUUAAAUAUGUCCAAAACAAGCUGAGAAUUACACAAAAUCAAGAAGCUACCACCAGCAACUGCAGAAUAAACAAAGCGAGCGCUGUUAACACGUAAUGCCAUCUGUGGGCAGCCCAGUAAACUAAUCUGGAGGUCAAGGGAAUUUUGUCCUGGUUAAAAGAGGUGCCGGACCAUCCGUUGCCGGAAAAUCGGUGGAGUACCUGUAAUUAAGUCCCUAACUUGGUCUUUUUGUGUUUGUAUAUUAGUGUCAAAGUAUUUAUGUUUAGAGUACACCCACCUCUCGUUUUACGCGGGGGUUACGUUCUUGAAAACCACCGCUUAAUUAAAAACUUCUUAAAUUAAACAUAAAUUUCCCAUAAGCAUACAUGUAAAUGGUACAGGUUAAGGGAACCAUCAUAUACCACACAGGGUACGAACAGUGCUCUCACUUAAACCAAGCAUGCUGCCAACACACACAUACUCCUCUCUGAAGGCCGGUGAUCACAUUUAAUUUCACGCCCAUUGUGAUUGUUUUUCGUGCCUUUUUAGCUUUAGGCGUCCCAGAGGCAGAUGGGUGUUUUACAGACAUGGUCAAUGGGAGAAACGGCGUUUAACACUAAAAAGGUACGUGAUAAACACAAUGCAAAUUGGAGCAAAGAGAAGUAGUAGUGCUGGUGUGAACUGAGAAAGUGAUACCCGGGAAGCUUGCUGGACGUGGUCAAAGUUUUUGUACAGAAUACUUCAUUAUCUUCACCAUUAGAAGUAAUUAUCUUUAUUAUUACAUUAUUAUAAUUAUUAUUAUUAAUAAUAUAAAAUUGUUGAUGUUGAUAUGACUGCAACUUUAUAGUCAUAACUUACAAGUACCUCACCAGGCAUCACACGCGACUCCACUGCCAGACGACCAGGUGAAUACACGAUGCAAAUUUAAACUGUCUUGAGCGCGUUAUUUAAAAAAUAGGUGCGUUUAAAUUAGCUUUUGGUAUUAACUGAACAAUCGCGUUGUUCCAAAAACGCUUAAAUCAAACGCACGUAAAACGAGUUACCUGUAUAUAAAGUAAAAGAAUAAAAUCAUUUUAACACCUGUGCUGAACUGAUAUUCCAGCUCAGGAGUGCCAUAAGAAACGUGAAGAUUAGUUAUUACAGAAAAACAAAAAAAAUUUAACCCAAAGUUGAUUGUAAAUACAUAAUGCCGCUCAGUCUCAUAUUUUCUCUCUUAAUUAUAUUAAUAACUUUAAGCUUUGCAUAAAUCAUUGUUUAUCAAUUUUGAUACCUUACAAAUACUACUUUCUUUUUUACUUUUUCUACUUGUGUGUUUCACUUCAAUUAAUUUAACUUUUGUUUUGUUUUUAAGUAGUUUUGAAGAAAGCUACUUUAUACAAAUUUUAAUUUGUACAAAGCAACAGUGUAGUACUGUACUUUAUUUUAAGUAAUACUUCCAGGUACUUUCUCCAUCACUGUUUAAAGUGGAUCUGAAUUGAGCUGGACCUGAUGUGAACUAGACUAAAGUGGGCUGGACGUGCAAGUGAAGGAGAUCUGAAGUUAACUGGACCUAAAGGACUAGAUAGUAAUUAAUUACUAUUUUCUGGUACUUUGAAUAUUAGGAUGGUUCUACAGGCAUUCCCCAGUUUAUAAGAGAGUUCUGUUCCUGAAAAACCUUUAGUAAAUCAGAUAAAUUUUCCCAUAGACUUCCAUUAUAAAAGCCGAGAUACUUUUCUAUAAUGAAAAUACUAACCCAAAAUGUCUUAACCCUUAAGCCCCGGGUUACGUUCCAGAACGUCUGCCUAUUUUCCCAUGACACAGAAGUGAGAGUUAACACUGUGGUGUUAAUAACUUUACUAAAGUGAGGAUAUUACUUCAAUAAUUAUGUAAGAGAUAAAAUCACAAAGUAACUUCAUGAAAUUACCGUUUACUGUAUCUUAAAGUAUAGUUCAAGUCUUAAUGAUCAAAUUUUUAUGUAAAAAAUUGGGGUCAAACUAUACAUGCAUAAUAUUUUUGAGGGGUUACAAUUUAUGCAUUUCCAUGGGUCAUUUACAGUGAAUGAUAGUACCUGGUGCAGUACGCACUUAUGGUAGGUUAACCUUACCAGUAAGCUCCUUUAUCCUGGGGUUGCCUACCGACCCCAAGAUCCUAUGUGGCUACAGGAAGAGCAGAACCUUUCACUAUACAGUAUAUGCUGGUUUAAAUAUACAAAUGCCUGAUAGAAUUGGUUUAGAUAUUUUUCUUUGCAUCUGUUUAAAUUACUGGGAGAUGAUCAACUUUCCCCACCUGUGAGCUGUAUGCUAUGUUAUGGUCAGAGUGAGGGAAGAUUGGACUAAAGUUAAUUGAGAGGGAAGACUGCUGGAGACAUAAUUGAAGAGUAUUACAGUGAGGGUGGGAAGGCUGGUGAUAUGAAUUAAAACUAUUCUCAAGUAAUGUAUAUGUGGGAGAAACUUGACUAGAACAUAAGACUUUACUGUACUGUAGCAGAAGAAGAGUGAGGAAACACCUUAGGAUAGACUGAAGUUUUAUACAAGCAAAGGAAGGAUAUGUGCCACUUAAUCUGCACUGGAUUAUUUUUUUAAUUUCUUCCACAUCCUAGGUUUAGGUUUCACUUCUUCAGAACUCAACCAUAAAGAGAGUCACCUAUCAACUGGAAUCAACUGAAUCUGACCAUCUUUCCCCGACCUUUAGGACGGGGUCAGAAGUCUAUUCUGGGAAGGAUGUUUUUGGACCAGCAUGCUUGUUUGUCCAGUGGUUCCAGGAGUCAGGAUCCUCUUGAGGGAGAAACCUGGCCCUCAGACUUGGCAUCAGCCAGGUUCAGGAGGAGACGUCUGGUCCUGCAGCAACACAGCACAGCACCUUAUAUCACGGCUCCUGUACAGAAGAAAACUUAUCUACUGAUUCUUGGCAGAUUAUGUUACCAUUUGAGGUGAACUGAAGCCUUGAUGUAAUAGUGAUUGAAGACUACAGUACAGGAGGAGAGAGAGUGUUAUCUGGCAUUGGUAUUAAAAUAGUUAGCAACUGUGUGUUAAUAACUUACAGGGUUCAGUUUAACACAGAUAGGCUCAUCAUAUAUUUUAAUAAAGUACAGGUAUCCCCCAAGAUACUUACAGUAUGUCCAAUAAAUGAACAAUCAUUAUUACAAAAAUAUCAGUUUGACUUGACAAAUUCCCCUCAGUCACAGGGUCAGUAUAGUCCAGUGGUGCAUUGGCACUAUUGCAGAAUGUUGGUUGUGUUUAAUGUAUUUAUUAUUUUACAAGAAUUAUAUUGGUGAAAAACCCA
rnacentral:lncRNA from 1 species